CCAUGAAUCUUGAAGAGAAUAGAGCAAGAUUAAAGAGAAACUCUUCUUCGGUCUUCAAAUGAUGAGAAUGACAACGAGAAACACCACCAAGAAUUAUUGAGGCACACCGGAAGAAUCAAAAGCGAAGAGGUUGAGCCAACUAUGAAAAGAAUUUGAAAGAUCUUGGAGAAAAACAUUUGACUGAUGACAACUCAUUCUUACGUCAAACUUGGAGAAGAAUUUACGAUAGCUCUGGGAAAAUAGAAGAGUCAGGUAAGAUCCUGGGAAAAAACCUGUGGGUUAGGGCCCACUCAAAAGAACACCGUUGAAAAGAUUUAAAAGAGAUGUUGCACCGGUUGAAUUAAAUGACUUGAAUGAGAUACCAAUCUCGAAAGAGCUUGAACUAAUGCAGAGUGGAAACACGAAUCUUCGAGAUAUCUUGAGCACUCCGGAAUAACAAAUAGCGAGAAGUGAAUGAAUAUGAGGAGCACCGGUAUGAGAAGGCAUUGAAAUGAGGAAAAAGGUAUGAUCAACAAAACUUGACUUGAAUCCACCGGAGAAGAGAAAGGAAUGGCGAACUAGUAGAACAUCUUCUUGAGAACCACCAGGUAAGAACAAUGACGGAAAAGAAUGGAGAAACUUCCCAUCAAUAAAAUGGAUACUUGAAGAAGAAAUCUAAGUCCUUGAACAAAAAGGGUGGGAGGGCGGGAAAAACAAAGGCAACUUGGGGCAGUUGGAAUGAACACCGUUGAGAAAACUUAGAAUUGAUCUUGCGGAUGGGGAGAAUGAUCGGAUCCACUUGAAGAGAGACACACUGGUUGAAAAGGAUUGGCAAGACAAUCUCGAUGAUCAAGAAGGAUUAGUAUUCACAUAGCAAUAUGAGAACACCAUUUGGAAAAGGUAUGGAAUCAACAUUUGACUUCGAAGCAACUCGAAUACCACAACUCAAAACAAAACAAAGGAUUUGGCUUGCAGAAUAAGCCGGAACAAACAUAUGAUAGAGAUUUCGUCCGAAGUUUUCGUGGUGGGGCCUACACGGGCUCGAUCGUACAGCACCAUCAUGUACAAGGCAGUGCACAUGACAUACGAAGCGUCCCCGAGUCGGCAUAGCCAAGGACUCUUUAAGACACAACAAGACCACUGUAAAACCAACCGUGAAUAGGCGGACCACUAGACGUCGAACCCCAAUUUCAUAUCGUACAUCUGUCGGAAAGAUAUCCUAAGAGCUACUUGAAUUCCCACCUAUGAAACUCCCGAAAUUUUCAGGUUAUGCAAUCAGGUGUUGGGGAUACAGGAGAAGCAUAAUAUCUCACCCAAACUAGCAAAUCCUACAUCCAGCUGUAUCCAUCCUUCAACACAUAACCAAGAAACCUUCGGAAAUCAUCUACCUCAACCUUCGAAAAGCAUCCGUUAUACAAGUCAUGGCAAUACUCCCGUACUCACCUCAGUACUGGGUUAUCGGGGUUAUCUCACCAACAACUGCAUAAAAGAGAUUUUCGAUGUCGGCGUACUAAACUCAGGUAUUCCAGAAUUGCAACGAUAAAAUUAUGAUGACAACACCUCAGAGCUCAACUCCCCGGGACACUUCCACUAAACCCCUGACGGGAGGCACCAAGACAAUGUUCUCAUCAUAAAACCAUCGGAACGAUUCCAAGAUACCCGUGUGAUCCUAAAAAAAAAAUUAGUGAAAUUUGAGAAGAGAAGAGUCAAAAAUCUAUGUCAGGAUGCCUUACCAGAGCGAUGAGGAGACUGGGGAGUAAAAAGAAUUCCUAACUCUCCGAUAUAUAUAAUCCUAAAUGACUCAAAAUAUUUUUCUAGACACAACUCGGCCGCUAAAAACGAUCAAGCAAUGGGGCUCCUAAGGUCGGAGAAGGCUCUGAUUACCAACUUGUAACGCCCUCGAUGCAGCUAUAUCUCCCACGUGUCGAAGCACGACUUAGAGGCAUAACCGCAUUGAAAGCAACGUCGCAAGUGAGGUAAUCUUCACACAACCCAUGUAAUACAUAAGGGAAAGAGAUACAUAGUUGGCUUACAAUCGCCACUUCCCACAAUUACAUGAAUAAAGCAUUACAUCAUCCGGAUACAAUCAAGGUCCGACUACGGAACCAAAAUAAAAGAAGAACCCCAAAUGCGACAAAGGUCCCCGAUCGACCCCAACUGGGCUCCACUACUGAUCAACUAGAACGAAACAACACAAAGGGCAAGAUCUUCAUCGAGCUCCUCCUUGAGCUUGGUUGCGUCACCUGCUCGGUAACAUAGGCACCUGCAAACUGGUUUUGGAAGUAUCUGUGAGCCACGGGGACUCAGCAAUCUCGCACCCGCGAGAUCAAGACUAUUUAAGCUUAAAGGAAGGAUGGAGUAAUGAGGUGGAGCUGCAGCAAGCGACUAGCAUAUAUGGUGGCUAACAUACGCAAAUGAGAGCGAGAAGAGAAGGCUAAGCACGGUCGAAAAAAGUAUGAUCAAGAAGUGAUCCUAUAGCAACCUACGUCAAACAUAACUCCAACACCGUGUUCACUUCCCGGACUCCACCGAGAAGAGACCAUCACGGUUACACACGCGGUUGGUGUAUUUUAAUUAAGAUCAACUUCGGGUUUUCUACAACCGGACGUUAACAAAUUCCCAUCUGCCCAUAACCGCGGGCACGGCUUUCGAAAGAUAAUACCCUGCAGGGGUGUCCCAACUUAGCCCAUGACAAGCUCUCACGGUCAACGAAGGAAUAGACCUCCACCCGAGACACUCCGAUCAGACUCGGUAUCCCGGUACAACAAGACAUUUCGACAGGGUAAAACUAAACCAGCAACACCGCCCGAAUGUGCCGACAAAUCCCGAUAGGAGCUGCACAUAUCUCUUUCUCAGGGCACACUCAGAUGAGACUAGCUACGAGUAAAACCAACCCUCAAGUUUCCCCGAGGUGGCCCCGCAGGCAGCUCAGUUCGGACCAACACUCAGAGGAGCACUGGCCCGGGGGGGUUAGAAUAAAGAUGACCCUUGAGUCUGCAGAACCCAAGGGAAGGUGGUAGGUUGUUAGUGCAAAUGGUAAAACCAAUGUUGGGCAUUGCUGGAGGAGCUUUACUUAAGGCGAACUGUCAAGGGGUUCCCAUUAUAGCCCAACCGUGUAAGGAACGCAAAAUCCGGGAACAUAACACCGAUAUGACGGAAACUAGGGCGGCGAGAGUGGAACAAAACACCAGGCAUAAGGCCGAGCCUUCCACCCUUUACCAAGUAUAUAGAUGCAUUAAUUAAAUAAGAUAUAUUGUGAUAUCCCAACAAGUAAACAUGUUCCAACACGGAACAACAUCUUCAUGUUCCAACAAGGAACAAACUUCAAUCUUCACCUGCAACUAACAACGCUAUAAGAGGGGCUGAGCAAAGCGAUAACAUAGCCAAUCAACGGUUUGCUAGGACAUGGUGGGUUAGAGGUUUGGCAUGGCAAUUUGGGAGGCUGACAAGCAAAUGGUAGGCAUCGUAGCAUUGGCAUAGCAAGAGCGAGCAAACUAGCAUAGCAAAGAUAGUAGUGAUUUCGAGGGUAUGAUCAUCUUGCCUGAGAUCCCGCAAGGAAGAAGAAAGAGUCCAUGAAGAAGACAAACGGACGAAGACGAACGAAUCCUCACAACUCCGGAACGAAACCGAAGCUAACGAGAGAAGCAACCCGGAAAGAAACAAACAACAUAGUAAACAAACAUCACAUAAACAUGGCAUGAUGCGCAAACAAGUAUGAUGCAUGUCCGGUUUAAUGAGGCAUGGCAUGGCAAUGUGCACAAACAAUCCUACAAAUUAAAUGGAGCUCAAUAUGCAACGAGUUGCAUAUUGACGAAACACCACGAUAAGUUAUUUAGUUUGAUCCCGUUUAUGUACCCAACAAUAUUAAAUGUUGUUAAGCAUGGCAAGAGGGUGAAGCAAAAUAUAAACUAUACCAUCUAAACAAUUUAAAUGGGGGCCGGAUAUAAAAACAACAAAUCCGGUAAAUCCCCAUAUGCAUUUAGCAAUUUAGUGCAACAACAAGUUUAAACAUUUUAAAUGUUGUUAUCAUGAUGCGGAUGACAUAUACAAGUUUAUGCAAGUUUUUAAGAAAAUGUUGAUAAGAGCAUAUUAUGUAGCAUUUGCCACCGUGGUGGAAAGAAAAGGGGUGCCACGGCAACGAAUCCGAAAAUGAUGCCACGGCAACAUAUCGGUUCCGGUAACUCGAUUGAGAUCCCGGUGCAAAAGAAAAUGCGACGAGAGCGUGACAUGCAAUAGAAUGCGGGGUGCUCUCGAAUACCGAGUUCCCACAUGUCAGUGGCAAGGCAAAAGAGGGGCGACGCAAGGACGAUUCGAUCACAGAGCAAACGAUGCAUCUCAUUCAACACAUGCAUUAGGUCACGGGCGUCGUCUCGGCGUUAUACCUUCGAAGCGUGCAUUCGGGGCGGAACGAGUUCGGUGCGAUGUAGAGGAAGUAGACGUUCUCGUAGCGGUCGUAGAGGAAGUAGUUGUUCACGUGUCGUCGUGGAAGUAGUGGUUCACGGCGACGGUAGUGGUAGCAGUUGUUCAUGUCCCGUAGAUGAAUCGGGGUCCACGGGGUCUUCGGUGUCGAGGUACUUGGCGUUCCAAAACAGAGCAACACCAAAAGGCCUAGGGUCUUGGCGAUGUAGAUGAACACGAGGUCCUGCCCGGGGCUGGUCUUGGCCUUGGCGUUCCUGGUCGAUGAGGGCGAGCGGAGGCGCAUCCUCCUCCCUGCUCGAACAAGGCAGAGGCGGGGCAUGGGGCUGCUCCUGCAAAGGGGCGACGGGAGCCGGACGGUGGCGCUCGGGGAUGGCUGAGGCGGAACCAUAUGGCGAGGCGGCAAGCUUGGCGCGGGCCCCGGGGCCGCCGGAGUUGGCCGAGCUCGGGGACGAGCUCCUGGCUGGCAAGGGGAGCGAGGAGCGCAGGACGGCAGCCAGCAGCGGCUCCUGUGGCCGGCGGGCGGAGGUCCAGGAGAGGUGGAGAAGCAAGAGGACGACGUCAGGUUUGGUGGCGGCGACCGGUGCUAGGGCUCCGGCGAGCUCCGGCCAAAACGAUGGGGAGGAGCGGCGUGGGUGCCAGCGCGCACGGGCGCUCGUGCAGAGGGGGAAGGGGACUCCGGGCUCCUGUUGGAGCUCGUCGUCAGCGGCGAUCGCAGGCCGACGCGGCGGGAUCGAGAGGCACGGGAGGAGGCCUCCAGGCGUUGGGGACGAGGCAGAGGAGGAAGGGGCGUGAGGGAGGAGAUCGAGGGGAGAUGGGGAUCGAGCGAGGAGCUCUCGCUCCUCUCUGGCGGCGCGAGCAGGGGAAGGAGAUGGGGAUCGAGGAGAGGUAGAUGGCGGCGUGAGGGAGAGAUCGAUGUGCGGGGCUUCUCCCUGGCGGCGGUGGACGAACGAGGGAGUGAUGGGAGAUGCGAGGGGAUCGGGCUAGGUUAGAGGGUUAGGUGGGCCGGGGGAGUGGGGCGCCGGCUGGGCCUGGGAGGUCGGCCUAGUGGAGAGAAAAAAUGGCAGAGGCCUGGUGGGCUGACAAAGGGCCUAGCUGGGCUGCAGGAGGCCGACUGGGCUACAGGCUGCACUCUCUCUUCUCUCCCUCAUUUUCCCAUUUAAAACAAAACAGAAAAUAAAGAGAAAGAAAAAGGGAAGAGAAGAAAGGUUAGAGAAAGAGUUGGGCACGGGGAUAAUUUUCCCGGACUCGCAAAAAAAAAUAAGCUCGUACCAAGAAAAAUAGAAAGGGGCAUGAUUGAAAGAUUAAAUUCAAACUCAUUUGAUUUAAAUUCAAAUGAUUUGAAUAGGAAGUGAGGGUUUGGGAAGGUCCAAAAAUGUUCGGAAUUUUGGUGGAGCUCCGGAAAAUGAUGAAAGAAAAUACGGGCAAGGUUGGAGAACAAGAAUUAAGAUAAUAAAGGCAUUGGGAUAUUUUGCAAGUGUGUUAAGGUGAUUCCAAAACAAUGGAAUAUUUUAUUAUAGCUCCCUAAAUAUCGGGAGGGUAUGUUAUAAAGAGAAGUCACCCUUCCCUCGAUUUAAAUGGAUCGAAGAUCCAUACAAUUUAUUUAGUUGAGUUGCAAAAGAUUUAUGAGAUGACGGCAUGAUGACAUGAUGCAAUGCAAAAAUAAAAGGGCAGGCACAAAUAAAACACACGGCGAAAACUGGAAACCCUGGAAGGCAACUGAAGCUCCGGUCUUGGGGCGUUACACACCACCAGAUUCGUGGUCAUACCGGAAAUUAUUAGAAUUCUUGAACUCCUGCAUAAUAAAGCAAUCCUUCCAAAGGUGGUUUGCUGGCGCCUCCUUCGUCCCAUGUCUUGGACAGAGCUGGCUUAGCAGAUAGUUUAGGCGGUCUGGGUUAGGGUUGGGUGCCCCAUUACGAUUUUUCGGUUUACCCUUGCGUCGCUGGCCAUUGUCCUGUGCAUUGGUAUUAGCCACAAAGUCCAUGUUACCAUCCGCUUUACGCUUGCCUCCACCACCAUUGCCUGUCCAGUGAUGCUGCUGACCUUUGGAGUUGUUGUUCCUCUUUCCCUUCCCUGUCUUGUCAUCAUCAGAUUCGGGAUCCUUGGUACUAUCAGAAUCAGCAUAUUUCACCAAAGAGGCCAUGAGGGUCCCCAUGUCAGUGCAAUGACGGUUCAUCCGUCCCAACUUUAGCUUUAGGGGCCCAAACCGGCAGUUGCCUUCUAGGGUUAAUACUGCGGUGUCAGCGUUGAUGCGGUCUGAUGAGUGUAACACUUGUGAAACCCGGUGCACCCAAUGAGUCGUUGACUCUCCUUCCUCCUGGACGCAGGCAGCUAAGUCCACUAUCGACAUAGGCUGUUUACAUGUAUCCUUGAAAUUGCUGAUAAACUGGGCUCGUAAUUGGGCCCAUGAACUAAUAGAAUUAGCCAGCAAGCUUUUUAACCAAGUACGGGCCGUUCCUUCAAGCAUCAUGGUGAAGUAUUUCGCACACGUCGCGUCAUCCACAUCAAGCAUCUCCAUGGCCAUCUCAUAGCUCUCCACCCAUGUCUCUGGAGGUUGAUCCGCCGUGUAAUUUGGUACCUUGUGCGGGCCUUUGAAAUCCUUGGGCAGGCGCACAUUGUGUAAAGCGGGGAUAAGGCAAGGCACCCCUAAAGAGCUAGAAGUAACACCAGGUUCGAUCGAGAUAGUUGGAUGAACCGGCGUGAGCUGCCGAGCCUGAUGUUGUGCGGCUAACUCGGCCUCCCUGCGCGCUCGGGCCCGGUCCACCACUUCCUGAGCCUUAUCAGCACCGCCCGCCGGGUUGUUGCCACGGGGUGCUCCAUGUCGUUCAUUACUCGACACUGCCAAUUCAUCCAUAUGUCUGCUAUAGCUCCGGCUUGGACGGGGGGUCGAGUGGAUCCGGUCGCGGCUGUACGAGUACGCUUCCUGUUGGACCAAAGCUGUCCUCAGAAGCUCCUUGACCCGUCGCGUCUCUAGUGCCUGUGGCGAGUCAUCUUCAAUUGGAAUGGCCUCCAGUCGUGCAGCAGCAGCGACGAGAUUGUCCAUCUGACGAGGCUGAACCAGUGCACCGGUCCCGAGAGCUUCCGCCCGGUUUUCCUCCAGCGGAUUGCCGGUUCCUACUCCUGGAGUGUUGAAAAGGUCUCUGGCCUCAAAAACCGGAGGCAAACAGGACCGGUACUUCCUCCUCAUGACUUCCUGCGACGCACUCUGGUCCAACAUGAGCCUGUAGGCUUGUGCGUCUAAAGCGGCCCGCUCCGUGGCCAUCCUGGUGUCCUCAGCUGCCAGAUCUGCCUUGGCCUGGGUGAUCUGUUCCUUCACUUUUGCAAUCUCGGCAUUGUGAACGCCCUGAUCCGCCAGAUUAGCCUCCGCCAUAAGCACAGCCAAUGCAUCAAAUAGCUCUGAUAGAACUUGAGUCGGCGGGCACACAGGGCCUCCUGCCCCGGCAGCCGUCACCGCUGCUGAACCGGAGGUUGUUGCCGCAACGGUCAAAGAAUGAAGCGCUGCUUGUGUGCCAGUCAUGAAUAUUCCAACCCGGUUGGGCAGAUCAGAGGGGUCCGGAAUACUGUCGCCAUCGGAACAGCCCCCAAUCCGGCCGUCUUGUAGCUGAUAAAGAGAUUCGGUUUCUCCGGUCGAUGACUCUUCAUCGGAACAAACAACAGUCUCGCCGCGAGAUUCCGAUCUAUCCUCAUAACUUCCUCCAUGGAUGACCCCCCCCGAAGGCACGCUUUAUGGCCGGUUUAACCCGGGCGGAUCGCGCACGCUGAGCCAUCUCGACGAGGUCGGUGCAGAUGUCCGGCUCAAGGCCUGGUUCACCGAUCUUGCCAAUGAAAACGUGAAUGCCACCAAAGGGGACCCGGUACCCGUACUCAACUGAGCCGGCCUCGGGGCCCCAGCCUGCGUCGUCGAUGUAGAGCUUGCCGCGACGACUCUUAGUCAUCCGGCCUACAGCGUAGCCCUCGAGUCCUUUAAAGCGGCCCUCCAAGAACCUGAAACCAUCGUGCGACGGCCCCACAGUGGGCGCCAACUGUCGUGGUUUUGUCACGGCAGAUGUCCUGGAGAAACGACUUAGUCGUGGAGCCAUCGCGACGGGUUAGCUUGAAGGGGUUAAAGUGGACACAGGGACGCAAGAGAGUUAUACUAGUUCGGCCCCUUCAAUGAAGGUAAAAGCCUACGUCUAGUUGUGAUGGAAUUGAUGGGGUUUCGAUGACUAGGGAGCAAACAAGCUUCGCCUAUGUCUCGAGUUGUUGUCUCUCCUUGAACCGCCGCCGGGUCGUCCCCUUAUAUACACGGGUGACGCCCAUCGGUUCACAGAGUCCCAACACCGGUCGAUAUUCGUAUCCGGGUUGGUCUCUCCUUAUUCCUAACUUAUAAUACAAGUUUAUAUACAAAUACCGGUUUACAGCUACAAGUCUUGAACCGACUACGGGCCUUAGGCCCUCAUCUGCCUUCUUGGGCUUUAGCACUCUUGAACUACUGAUGAGGUUGACCCGGCCCAGAUAGGCCGGUUUACGCCCAGCAAUAAUAUCCCCAACACCACAGGUAGGCCAACCCGAGCCCAAAACCUUGCAAGACAUCGGGGCAGGGUGCGCCCCUCAAGGCCCCAGGACAAAGAGCCGCCUUCAAGAAGUCAAUGGCAAGACGGCCGACUGACCACUCGCGGCCGAGUCCCAUGGACGAUCGUAGGGAAAGCCGACUCCUGACUGGCGACUUCUGGAGAAGCCAGCUUUGGGGAGUCGGCCUGCGACUCCAACAAACCCCGUGACCUCAUCAAGGGGGACGGGGCGGGAGAGUGGCUACAGUGAAGCCCACUCCCGCCCCUUACCAAGGGUGGGCAUGGCCACAGCACGCCGUACCCCGGAAGAUCUCCGUGUGGCAUGGCACUGUUGCCAUGCCGGACCUGACAUCAGCACCGUAGGACCGAAUCGUGCACCCACGACAGCUUGUCUGUACGGCUCAGAGGCAGCGGGUCCCACCAGUCGGUGAGACCCCAGGAGACGGCAAGAGGACCACCAGUCGGACCCGUCGGGAGUCGGCCGAGCCCUCCCCCGGGGCCCACGCACCAUUAAUCAAGAUGUGAUGGAGAGUGGCAAUAGUGAUCGCCCGCCAGGCGGCGGGGCUGUUGCCACGACCCCAUGAUCAAGCCCGCGUCAUCAGAAGCACGACACAGUAAUCAGCAGCCGGCAAGACCCGCCCGCGGCGGACGCGGCCUAUCGGCUCCGUACCGGGCCAGUCGGCGGGCCCCAGCGGUCGGCGGGGAAGACGGAGGCCAGAGGCGCUGACGGCUGGGCCCGCGUCCUGCCGGAUUACCAUUGUACCCCUGGGGGUAGGCCUGUAUAAACCCCCCCCCAGGGCACCCAUGCAAAGGAUUGGAACCCAUUAGCUCUAGGCCAGAUCAUAUAGAUGGGAGAGAGCUAGCCUUGCCCUCUCCUACCUCCAAGAAACAGCUCAAGGAGCAACCGUGUAAACACUUUGCCAUAGUGAUCAUGCGGAGACCCCGCAGAGCAGCAGUAGGGGUAUUAUCUCCCCGGAAAGCCCUGAAGCUGGGUAAGAUUCGCCAGCGUGCAUGCCUUCGCCUCAUCCCGUUUCCAGGCACCGGCGAUGUUCUACUCGCCCCCACCAUGAUAAGCCAUCCUUUGGCAUAUGUCGCACCAAACCCUCGACAUUUGGCGCCCACCAUGGGGCAUGGUGCACCGCCCUCCGGAGACCUGUUCUGGACAGGAACCCUUUUCUCCCUGGCGAGCGCAGCCAGCCAAGCACGCCAGACGGAGUUUGCGUCGACGCGCUAAGCAGCGUUGAGAUCGCCUGCGCAGCCAGCUGCCUGGCCGAACUUGUCGGCGAGGUUUGCCUCUCCGACGAACCUGCAUCCAACGCAGGCACGGGCGGCCCCGAGAGCCUCCUCGCGGGCCUCCUCGAUCAGCUCCACAUUUCUGGCGAGACUGGCGUAGACUUAGAGUCCGUAGGCUCCACCGACCCGAUGCUGGUCGACUCCGACACCGUGUCGCUCGACGCGUUCCCCACCAAUGUGGUGGUCUACGACGAACCUCUCCCUCUCGCGGAGAGCAACGGAAGCACCAUCACCGAGGUGCUCGUCAUCAGUCAUGACGAGCUCCCCGGCGGAGGAGCGCACGAUUCACUCGGCGUGGCGCUACAAGACCUAACUGCGCCCAUUCCGGAAGACGCUGCCGCAGAGACGUUGGAGGCGCGCUGCCUUCAGCUUGUGGAAGGCGCGAAGAAGCUGGCCAGCAUGAGGCGCUUGUCAGAAGCCUACCAGUGGGAGAUGGAUCGCGCCGUCGGCGGCUCGCCGGCCCCGGCGGGGCCUAGCCGCCUUGGCGCGGUCCAGCAAUGCGGCGUAGCCAUCGCCAACCUGUUUGGGGCAAGCCGCCCUGUGUACGCUACACCAGCGGAGAACAUCCGAGCCGGCCAGGCAGCGGCGGAUGAGCUGGACAAUUUUGAGGGCGAAGAACGCCGCCUCAUGAUGGAGCGAGUCCAGCGGCUCCUCGACGCGGCCGCCAUGCAGAACGAGGCCGGCUGCCGCACGGAGGCGCCGCAUCGGCCAAACGACGACCUUCACCGAGAUCAAGGCGCGACGUCUCGGACGCCGACUGGCGGCGCCCGAGGAAGAAGAGACAAGGAGCCAGCUGUCAGCCACAGUCGGACUCACAUUACCAUAGAGCGUGACCGAGACGGCCGCCCGAGAGCAGUGGAACGACGGGACGACUGUCCGCCUCCCCCUCCCCGCAAGGAGAGGCGAGUCUCCCCGCCGCCUGUUGACCAUCCGACUCUCGGCGACCGCCUUGGCCGCCGAGAGGGAGUUGGAGAGAAUGACGCCCGCCACCGGAUCGACCGACUUCACCGAUCCUUAGCGCUGGAAGAAGACGACGAGCUGGGUCCGCCUUGUUUCGGGCCCCGCAUUCGGGGUGAGCCCUUUCCCAGAGGGUUCACGCUCCCAAGAGACACGCCCAAGUAUACCGACUCCAUGAAGCUGGAAGACUGGCUAGUCGACUACUCCACGGUUGUCAGCAUAGCAAACGGCAACAAGCGUGUCGCCGUAAAGUACGUUCCGCUCAUGCUCCAGGGCACGGCCCGGACAUGGCUGAACAGCCUGAAGCCCCACAGCAUCAACUGCUGGGUCGACUUCACCGAAGCAUUCGUCUGCAACAUUCACCAGCACGUACAAGCGUCCUCCCAAGCCUCGUCAGCUCUCCUUGUGCGUACAAGGCCCCGACGAGUCGACUCGCGAUUACCUCACGCGUUGGGCCGAGCUACGGAACUCCUGUGAGGGCGUGCACGAGGUGUAGGCCAUGGAGUACUUCACAGCCGGGUGCAGAGAAGGCACCCUCCUCAAGCACAAGCUCCUCUGCGAUGAGCCAGAAACCCUCGACGAGCUGCUGAUCAUAGCGGACAAGUACGCCACGGCCGACUCCUCCAUGAAGGCGGAGAUUCAAGUCAGCACAACUGGCAAAGUGGCCUCUCAAGCUCCAAGAACUCCGGCGGCAGACGCCAACCGGCGACAACAGUAGGGCGACCACAAGCGAAGGCCCCGCAGCCGGCAGGUCGCGACCGUUGAAGCCCAGCAGCCAGAUGAGCAGCCUUCGCCCAAGCGACAGAAAGGCGGCAAGCCAAACUGGUUGCCGACCUUCUCCUAUGAGCAGACCCUGGAUGGACCUUGCAAGUUCCAUAGCGGCGCGAAGCCAUCGAAUCACACCACCCGGAAGUGCCACUGGCUCACCAGGAUCGCUAAGGGAGAUGGCCUCCUGCCUCCCCCGCCUGCUGGGCAGCCGCCUCCGCCUCCGCCUCCGCCCCAGCAGCCGGCUGUCAGGCCAGCCGGCGCAGUACAAGACGAAUACCCUGAAGAGCAUGGAUCCUACAUGGUGUUUACCAGUAUGGCUGAUGAUCGAUGCAGCAGGCGGCUGCAGCGACAAGAGGUGAAUGCAGUAGCAUCGGAGACGCCAGAUUUCAUGCACUGGUCCGAGAAGCCCAUCAGCUGGAGCAGGGCUGACCACCCAGAAGUGAUGCCGAGUCCGGGCUCCUAUGACUUGGUCCUGGACGCCACCUUUGCUACAGACAGACGAGCCGCGCGUUUCUCCCAAGUUCUGAUAGACGGAGGUAGCGGUAUCAAUAUCCUGUACAAGGACACCAUGGAGAAGUUAGGAAUCAAGCAAAUAAAGCUUCAGAACAGCCGAACUGUGUUCCACGAACUUUUUCCUGGGCUUUCCUGCUCACCAAUCGGCAAGAUCCUGAUGGACGUCCUCUUUAGAGACAAAGAUCACUUCCACCGAGAGUCUGUUUGGUUUGAGGUGGUGGACCUCGAGAGCCCAUACCAUGCGCUACUCGGUCGACCCGCCUUGGCCAAGUUCAUGGCGGUCCCCCACUACGCCUACCUCAAGAUGAAGAUGCCCAGUUCCAGAGGAAUUCUGACUGUGGCUGGCGACUACCAGAAGUCAUCUGCUUGCGCGGCUGAGAGCAGUCGGCUGGCCGAGUCCCUGGUAAUCGUGGCUGAGAAAUGGCUCCUUGAGCGAGUUGUGGCGAUGGCCGGCAAGCAGCCUGAGGUAUCGCCCAACCCAAAAGAGUCGGAGGCUGAGGGUUCGUUCAAACCGGCCAAAGAGACAAAGAAGAUACCCUUGGAUCCGGAGCACCCAGAGAGGUAUGCCGUCGUAGGUGCAAACCUCGACAGCAAAUAGGAAGGCGAGCUCGUCGAUUUCCUCCGUGAGAAUCGGGACAUCUUCGCAUGGUCCCCCAAAGACAUGACAGGUGUACCGACGGAAUUCAUCGAGCACAAGUUACAUGUCCGAUCUGAUGCAAAGCCGGUCAGGCAGCCCCUGUGCUGCCUAUCAGAAGAGAAGAGAAGAGUUGUCAGAGAAGAGAUAGCCCGACUCCUAGCAGCCGGCUUCAUUAUGGAAGUGUUCUUUCCAGAAUGGCUAGCAAAUCUGGUCCUGGUACUGAAGAAGAACAAGCAGUGGCGAAUGUGUAUUGACUACACGAGCCUCAACAAGGCCUGUCCCAAGGACCCAUUUUCUCUACCAAGAAUCGAUCAGGUGAUAGACUCCACAGCCGGAUGCGAGCUGUUGAGUUUUUUGGAUGCAUACUCAGGAUAUCACCAGAUCAAGCUGAACCCGGCUGACAGACUGAAGACCGCCUUCAUCACACCAUUUGGAGCCUUCUGCUACCUCACCAUGACGUUUGGCUUAAGGAAUGUCGGCGCCACCUUUCAGCAUUGCAUGCAGAAGUGCCUCCUCAAGUAGCUCGGCAGAAAUGCCCACGUCUACGUAGACGACGUGGUGGUGAAGACGGAAAAGCGCGGAACGCUGCUGGAAGACCUCAAGGAGACCUUUGAGAACCUACGCCGAUUCCAGAUCAAGCUCAAUCCCGAGAAGUGCGUCUUCGGAGUACCAGCCGGCCAGCUCCUCGGCUUCCUGGUCUCUGAACGCGGCAUAGAAUGCAAUCCAGUAAAGAUCAAGGCCAUUGAGAGAAGCCGACUGCUGGAUGUGCAAAGGUUCAUCGGCUGCUUGGCGUCCAUCAGCCGAUUCAUCAGUCGGCUGGGCGAGAAAGCUCUCCCCUUAUACCAACUCAUGAAGAAGACCACUUUUUUCGAGUGGAACCAUAAGGCAGACGAAGCUUUUCUCCAGUUGAAGAAGAUGUUGACUACUCCACCCGUCCUGGCGGCCCCGACCCCUAAGGAACCUAUGCUCCUGUACAUCGCCGCCACCAGCCGGGUGGUCAGCACGGUCAUUGUAGUAGAACGCAAGGAGGAAGGCAAGGCACUACAUAUCCAGAGACCGAUAUAUUACCUGAGCGAAGUACUAUCGACCUCCAAGCAGAACUACCCCCACUACCAAAAGAUGUGCUAUGGUGUACACUUUACUGCCAAGAAAUUGAAGCCUUACUUUCAACAGCAUCCAAUCACGGUGGUCUGCACGGCCCCGCUUGCCGAGAUCAUUGGUAGCCGAGAUGCUUCUGGCCGAGUGGCCAAGUGGGCCAUAGAGCUGGCUCCCUACACCAUCCACUACCAGCCCCGCACCGCUAUCAAGUCACAAGCAUUGGCCGACUUUCUCGUCGACUGGGCCGAGACCCAGUACCUACCUCCAGCGCCUGAUUCCACCCAUUGGUGGAUGCAUUUCGACGGCUCCAAGAUGCGCACCGGCUUGGGAGCCGGCGUCGUCCUCACCUCUCCCAAAGGCGAAAGCUCAAAUAUGCGCUGCAAAUCCACUUUGCCGCCUCCAACAACGUCGCCGAGUACGAGGCGCUCAUUCACGGGCUCCAGCUUGCCAAAGAACUUGGCAUCCGCCAGAUCUUGUGUUAUGGCGACUCGGACUUAGUGGUCCAGCAGUCAUCUGGCGACUGGGACGCGAAAGAUGCAAACAUGGCGAGUUACCGUUUCCUCGUGCAGCAACUCAGCGGGUAUUUCGAAGGGUGCAAGUUCCUCCAUGUGCCAAGAAACGAUAACGACCAAGCAAACGCCUUGGCACGAAUCGGCUCUACCCGCCAAGCAAUACCACCCGGCGUCGCCCUUCAACGCCUCCUCAAGCCGUCUGUCAAGCCUUCACCAGAAUCAGACUCCAUUUUUGUGCCGACUCCCCCCGAAGACGUCGAAACCGACUCCAGAGCCCCGGCAGUCGGCACGGGGAUUUUGGCAGAUGGCUCCAAAGCCGCCACAGGCGAACCCGGCCCGGGGACUGCGGCAGCGGACUCGAAGACUCCAGAACUCGACCCAAGGGCCGCGCCAGUCGGCCUGGGGACUUCAUUAACCCAGCAAGCGGUUGUUGACUCCAACCCGCCGCCUCCCAGCCCAACCACCCUCGUCCAAGUCACAGUUCUGGUAGUCGAAGAAGUAGCAGCACCCUCAUGGGCCCAGCCCAUCCUCAAAUUCCUGGUGAGCAAAGAGCUGCCAACUGACGAGACCUCAGCUUGGCAAGUAUAACGUCGGGCGGCAGCCUACACCGUAGUCAACAGAGAGCUGGUCAGGUGCAGCGUCACUGGUGUCUACCAGCGCUGUGUAGAGCCAGAGCAAGGACAAGCAAUUCUCAAAGACAUCCAUCAAGGCGAGUGCGGCCACCAUGCGUCUUGAAGAGCGCUCGUCGUAAAAGCCUUUCGACACGGUUUCUUCUGGCCGACUGCCCUAGAAGAGGCCAAGCAGUUAGUCCAAAAAUGCAAAGGGUGCCAGAAGUUCAGCUCCAAGCCGCACCAGCCUGCUUCUGCACUCAAGACCAUCCCCAUUGCCUGGCCUUUCGCAGUUUGGGGUCUAGACAUGGUGGGACCAUUCAAGACAGCACGAGGUGGCUUAACUCACUUACUUGUCGCUGUGGACAAGUUCACCAAGUUGAUAGAAGCGAAGCCAAUCAAGAAGCUGAACGGCCCGACUGCUGUGACUUUCAUCGCCGAUAUCACAAUUCGGUACGGCAUACCACACAGCAUCAUCACCGACAACGGCACAAAUUUCGCCAAAGGCGCCUUGGCCCGUUUUUGCGCAACACAAGGCAUCCGACUGGACCUAGCAUCCGUCGCCCAUACACAGUCAAACGGCCAGGUGGAGCGAGCAAACGGCCUCAUCCUGUCCGGCAUCAAACCCCGGCUAAUCGAGCCUCUAGAGCGCUCGGCUGGCUACUGGCUCGACGAGCUACCAGCCGUCCUCUGGAGUCUGCGCACGACUCCAAACAAGUCAACCGGCUUCACGCCUUUCUUCCUUGUCUACGAUGCCGAAGCCGUCAUCCCAACAGACAUAGAGUUCGACUCCCCACGAGUCACCAUGUACACCGAGGAGGAAGCAGAAGAAGCACGACAAGACGGCGUCAAUCUGCUGGAAGAGGGCCGGCUGUUGGCACUCAGCCGGUCUAGCAUCUACCAGCAGAGCCUGCGCCGAUACCACAACAGGAAGGUCAGGCCAAGAUCUUUGCAAGAAGGCGACCUUGUGCUCCGACUGAUCCAGCGAAUAGCUGGCCAGCACAAGCUGUCGGCGCCUUGGGAAGGCCCUUUCAUCAUCAGCAAAGUACUGGGCAACCACUCCUACUACCUGAUUGACGCUCAGAAGCCCCAAGCACGCAAGAGGGACAACUCCGGCAAGGAGACAAAGCGGCCAUGGAAUGCAAAUCUCCUCCGAAGAUUUUACAGUUGAUGCAGUAUGUACCACACUACCUUUUGUAUUAAAGUACCAAGACUUCGGGCCCCCCCGAGACGAGCUCGGGGACUGCCCUCUUUUGUCUGUAUGAUAAAAAUUAUGCCUGCAAGUAUGUUACUCCUUUUUUUUGCCGUUUGGCAUAGGGCUCGACAAGUCGGCCCGGGGACUUGCCGCCUUGCACUAUGAAAUGCUUCCUGCAGUCGGACAAAUAGUGUGUAAACGCCUAAACCGUCUCCUGUCAGAAGCCGCAGCUCGUAGAGCGACUGUACGGUGGGCAGAAGUAAGGUAGAAUGGGCAUUCGCAUGAAAAAUGGCAAAGGAAUCAAAGCAUAAAACAUAGCUCAAGACGGCUUCCAGCCUUUUUGCAAACCGACUCUCGAGUAGUCAGAUUGCCGCCUCCUAUUCAACUUGCUCAAAAACUCUUAAAAACGGCUAAGUACUUGCCUUCCCAAAGUAGCCAAGCAUUUGAUCCAGCGGCAGUCCGCAGAGCAGCCGUCCGAUUGGCAAGGCAGACAACUCGGAUAAAUAUAUUUACAUAGCAUAGGCCCUUGGCCGAAUCUUUGAGCAGAAGUUCAAAAUACACCCCGCGGGUGGAAUUGUGCGAAUUAACAAGUUCUUCAAAGACUACUGAAGCAGAUAAAAUAAAGGUAAAGCGGCAGCUUAGGAAGCAGCUGACGGAUUCGGAGGGUCGGACGAGGCGGCAGCGUCAGGUGUCGGGGCGGCCGGUUGGCUAGUCUCGGAUUGAUCGCCUCCGGCGGCAGUCAGGUCGGUCGCACGCGGCUCGUUGCUGGAGGCGCGGUCGAGCUGAGGCUGGCCGUCUGCUCCGUCUUCCGGUGCCUCCGUCUCGCCUCCGUCCUCCGCCUCGCCUUCCUCCUCGACGCUGGAGCCAAUCACCUUCGCCGAGUCCUCGCCGUAGUCUGGGUUCAUCCCAAACCACUCCGGCGUACCUCCUCGCUGUCUUCAGACCGCUCGGGGACGAAGAUGCUGGUGUCGAUGUACUCGGCGAUCGCUGCAGCAUGCUUGACGAGGGCGUCUUCCACAGCUGCCAGCUCCAGCUGGGCCUCCGACCGAAGCGUGGCCAGCCGGUCUAGAUCCAGCCCCGGAUACCACGCCUUGACGAACUCCAAGGCCCGGCGCGCUCCAGCUCGAGCCAAAGAGCCCUUCCAGGCCUCAAGACGACCAGCCGCGACCUCUAGCCAGUCGGCCGUCAGGCUAGGGGUGCACGGAGCCUGCAUGUCCGGCCAUAGGGCGGCAAUUGCCUGGGCACCGACACGCAGAAGCCGGCGCAGCAUCCGGUGAGUCGGCCGAAGGCGAGCCUCGAUGCUCAGGAUGUGCUCGUCAAGGGUUCGGGGGGCGUCGGCGGCGAUCUCCGCGCCCUCCGCCCUCCGCCCACCGACCUUCACGAUCAGCCUCGAUGGCUUGGAUGGCGGCCUGCGAGUGCCCAGGAAAGAAGUCUGCCAAGAUGGAAGAAAUGAAGAAGCAAGUCAAAAACCAGGAGUCGGCACGACUUAUAAUCAGCAGCUCGAAGAAAGAAAGUAAAGAAACUCACCAUCAACGAUGUCUUCAAUCUCAUGGAACCCGGAGGCCAGCAUCGCCUCCUUGUCGGACCAGGAGGAGCGCUCGUACGCGAACUUGGCCAAGAGGGCGGUCUCCGUCUCUUCCGCCUUCCUCUGCGUCUUCACAAGCACCUCCUUCUGCUCUGCCAAUUGAGUGGCCAGCAGAUCGUGCUCCGUGGUGAGCUUGCUGCACUCCUCCCCUUUGGCGCGCAAUGCCGAGUUGGCUUCGCUCAGCUACUGUUGAAGAGCAGCAUUGGCUCCUGAAAAGAAGAAAGAAAGAAGGCAUUAAGUCAUCAAUAAAGAAGAUCGCCGGGGAGAUCCGGCCCGACUGCUCAGCAGUCGGCCCGAAUCUCGGGGACUAUGCCCGCGGGUGCGCUAGCGCGCCCCCGCAAAGAAGGAAAAAUACCUACUCUAGCUCUCCGACAAAUCGGCGGUCCGCUUGCCCAGCUCUUCAACGUUACGGUUGAAGGCAGUGACGCGGAGGUUGUGGUAAUCCUGCGUCAAGCAUUUCAGACAAAAAAUUAAUACCCAGAGUUCGUCAAUUGGAGUUCCGGACCGCCUGCUCAGCAGCCAGCCCGAAACUCGGGGACUACCCCCAGUGGGUGUGCUGGCGCGCCCCCACAGAGAGGAACAAGGAAACAAGGACCAAAGGAAAAAACAUACCCGGACGGCUGCCCGCGACGCCAGGUACGCCUUGGUGCAAUUCUGGAGAGCGUCUCCCUCGGCACGAAGCUUCGCCUGGACGUCCAGAAGCGCCUGGUUCAGCGGCCCUGUGCCACCUCCUCGCACCCACCCAAUGGGCGCGGCGCUCGUCGCUUCGGCGUUUGGGAUCGCCGAGCUGGCGGUGCCGGCCUCCAGGGGGCAGGGUGCCGAAGUCGCCUUCUCCAGACGGCGCCGCGUCGGUGAGCCGACUUGGAGGAGUAACCUCGCCACGGCCUCGUCUUCGGUCGGCGGCACCGGAGGGUCUGCUGGCUGCUUGCCUUGCUCUCCCUCAGACGGCGGCGGAGGCGGCGGCGGAACGAUCACGUCCGGUGUAGAAGGGUCGCCGCCUUCCCUCUCCACGGCGGGGUUCUCGCCGCCGGCUUCCCCAGUCUGCCCCGUGAACUCCGGAGGCGGCGGCGCAGAGUUCAACGGGGUGACGAACACCGCCGAUUGGCGGCGUGCGGCCUCCUCAGCCUGCCGCUUCGUCGCGGCGGCGGCUUCGGCCUCCGCCAGUUUUUUCUUGGCGGAGGCCUCCGCCCUAUCGGCAUCCGCCUUCUCUAGGCGAACGUCCUCUUCUUUGUUGCGCUUCUCUUGCGCAUUCUGCUCUGUCGCCUCCCGGAGGUCAGUAGCGGGGUCAAUCUGCCGAGUGGUGGCGGACGUCUCCGCUGACCCCAUGACGGAGGCGGCGGUGACCCUCUCAAGAGUGAGGGGAGCCCUGAAGCAAGGGGAGCAAGCAAAUACUCAGACAAAGCCACAAAGAAGAAUAAAGCAUUAAGACAGAAUACUCACGCGGAGACCAAUGGCGGCUCCUUCACUUCCUUACGGAAGCGGAUGGCCUUCGCAGCUGCCUUGUCCCGCCAGGUCGCCGCAGCCGGACCCUUGGGCUUCUUCGGCCGACUGCCAAACAAGGUCGGCACGGCCCUGCACUUCUUCCCGCCGCCUGGAGCCCCCGGCGCAGCAGAAGAGCCCGCGCUAGGCUGGCCGGCUCAUGGCCGAUGGCAGGGGGCGACUUCUCCCUCGGCGUCGUCGUCAGGCCAGUCGGUGAAAGUGGCCGAAGGCCUGAAGUCGCGUGCUGCUCCUCCUCCUCCCUCGGCGUCGUCCUCCAGAGCCGCCGCCCCCAGAUCGGGGUCAUUGACAUCGCUCUCCGCCCGGUCGGCGAGGAACUCGCGGGCCGGCCCCGAGGUGCCGGCUGGCGGGUGGAGGAGGGGAUUCUGACCAAGGCCGACUGGUCAAAACAAACUCGGCGAGAAAAAAGACAAUCCAAAGAAAGAAAGGAAAGGUAACUCACCACAGGCGGGGGGUUGGCACGGGAGUACGGCUCCUUGCCGAACCGCCAAUCCUCCAGGAGUUUGCUGUCUGAGAGGUAGUUCACCAUGAAGGCCACCUCCUCGUGAGGCAUGUCCUUGGUGCACAUCCGACUCGGGUCGCGGUGCCCGCUCAUCUGGCAUAUCAUAUGGGGGUGGCCUUGGAGCGGGAGAACUCGGCGCGCCACGAAGGCGGCCAGUAGGUCUGGACCAGUCAAGCCCUCCGACUGCGUCAGCACUCGGAGUCGCGGAUGGCGCCGGCUCCCGCAGGCGUCAGCGACUUGGCCCGGUACGACCAGUUGGGCAGUCUCCCAGCCGGCGGGCCAGCUUCGAAAGCCGGCAGGUUCACCCAGUCGCCCCUUGCGGAGACGCUCCUAACGUAGAAGUACGAUCUCUGCCACAUCUUCACCGACUUUAUCAGCAAGAUGGAGGGGAAGGGGUUGUCGUCCCCCGACCUUCGCACGGCGAUAAAAGCGCCGCAUUGAGCCGGCACGCCUGCAGCCUGGGUGCCGAGCUUGGAGAAGAAGAACUCCCCCUAGAGCUCGAGGGUGGGGAGGACUCCGAGGAAGCCUUCGCACAAGGCCACGAAGGCGGACAGCAGCACCGCUGUGUUGAGGGUGAGGUGGUGCGGCUGGAGGCCGUAGAACUCCAGGAAGGAUCGGAAGAAACUGCUCGCCGGCAGCCCCAACCCGCGCAAGCAGUGCAAGCGGAAGAUGACCCGCUCGCCCUCCUGUGGCGCGGGGGAAAUCUCCCCCUUCGGCGCAAGACGCACCCGCACGUGAUCCUCGCCGGGGAGCCGACGAGUCUGGCGGAGGACUCGACGUGGUCAUCGUGAACUUCGGAGCCUUCCUAGGUACCGGAGCACACCGGGGGAGGCGCGGCGGCAGAGGAAGAGCCCAUCGCGAGCUGAUCGCCACGGCGUUCAUCAGAGCUUGGGCGCGCGGCGGAGCGAAGAUGAAGAAGAAGAAGGAGAGCGAGGAGUAGUGAGGAGGAGGAAAGCGAGGAGCAGUGAGAAGGAAGAGAGCAAGGAGUGGUGGGAAGGAGGAGCGCGCGUGCCCCCCUCUUUCCCCUACUUAUAGCCUCGUGGGCUACGAAGCCGAUGGGGCGGUCGUGGGAUUUACUGCGCCCACGGCCCCACGACCCCCAUGUUCCACGACAAAGUUACCGCGCGCAGUAACUCCACGAGAAUCCCAACCGUCCAUCGGGGCCGCGGCGGAUCCGCUCGGGCGCCGAGGCGUGGUAGUGGCGGGCCCCACCUAUGGGCCUGUCCCGUCGCACGCGUAGGUUGGCAGAAUGGCCCAACCACGUGUCAUCGCAUGACAGGCCUAGAACGGGUGGCGGCCUGGAGGCUUAGCUAGCACGCUACUUGGAUCCCGCCGCGACGUUUGAAAUAUUGUGCGAGUCGGAAUUGAGCGAAUCCGAGUUGAGCGAGUCCGACUCCUUCUAGUCGGCCCGGCAGAAGUCCAUCCAAGACCAUGUGUUGAGCACCCAGAAGGAGAAACUGCUGAGGCUUCUCGGCCGAUCGUCCGCGGCGCCUCAUCAGCUUCGGGGACUACUGUCGGAGUAAUGGGCCACGGGUAGGCCAACCCGAGUCCCAGAACCUUGCAACACAUCGGGGCAGGCUGCGCCCCUCAAGGCCCCAGGGCGAAGAGCCGCCUUCAAUAAGUCAAUGGCAAGACGGCCGACUGACCACUCGCGGCCGAGUCCCAGGGACGACCACAGGGAAAGCCGAUUCCUGACUGGCGGCUUCCGGAGAAGAAGGCUUUGGAGAGUCGGCCUGCGACUCCAGCAAACCCCGUGACCUCAUCAAGGGGGACGGGGCGGGAGAGUGGCUACAGUGAAGCCCACUCCCGCCCCUUACCAAGGGCGGGCAUGGCCACAACACGCCGUACCCCAGAAGAUCUUCGUGCGGCGUGGCACUGUUGCCAUGCCGGCCCUGACAUCAGCACCGCAGGACCGAAUCCUGCACCCACGACGGCUUGCCUGUACGGCUCAGAGGCAGCGGGUCCCACCAGUCGAUGAGACCCCAGGAGACGGCAAGAGGACCACCAGUCGGACCCGUCGGGAGUCGGCCCGGGGGAGUCGGCCGAGCCCUCCCCCGGGGCCCACGCACCAUUAAUCAAGAUGUGAUGGAGAGUGGCAAUAGUGAUCGCCCGCCAGGCGGCGGGGCUGUUGCCAUGACCCCAUGAUCAAGCCCGCGUCAUCAGAAGCACGGCACAGUAAUCAGCAGCCGGCAAGACCCGCCCGCGGCGGACGCGGCCUGUCGGCUCCGUACCAGGCCAGUCGGCGGGCCCCAGCGGUCGGCGGGGAAGACGGAGGCCAGAGGCGCUGACGGCUGGGCCCAUGUCCCACCGGAUUACCAUUGUACCCCUGGGGGGGUAGGCCUAUAUAAAGCCCCCAGGGCACCCAUGCAAAUGGUUGGAACCCAUUAGCUCUAGGCCAGAUCAUAUAGAAGGGAGAGAGCUAGCCUUUCCCUCUCCUACCUCCAAGAAACAGCUCAAGGAGCAACCGUGUAAACACUUUGCCAUAGUGAUCAUGCGAAGACCCCGCAGAGCAGCAGUAGGGGUAUUAUCUCCCCGGAGAGCCCUAAAGGUCGGUAAGAUUCGCUGGCGUGCAUGCCUUCGCCUCAUCCCGUUUCCAGGCACCGGCGAUAUUCUACUCGCCCCCACCAUGAUAAGCCAUCCUUUGGCAUAUGUCGCACCAAACCCCCGACAAUGAUAAUUAGAAAGGUUGAACCAACGAUGAAAGAAUUGAAAGAUCUUGGAGAAAGGCAUUUGACUGAUGAUAACUUAUUCUUACGUCAAACUUUGAAAGAUUUGAGAAUAACUCUGGUAAAAUUAGAAGAGUCGGGUAAGAUCCUGGGAAAAGACCUGUGGGUUAGGGCCCACUCAAAAGAAA
rnacentral:lncRNA from 1 species